rnacentral:tRNA from 1 species
CAUUAGGUGGCUGAUAAAAGCAAUGGAAUUUUAAACCAUAAUAUAGUAUAUUACUUCUAAUGA